ensembl:lncRNA
GUGAAGGAGUUAGAGUGAAGGAGUUAGUGUAGGGUGAAGGAGUUAGUGUAGGGUGAAGGAGUUAGUGUAGGGUGAAAGAGUUAGUGUAGGGUGAAGGAGUUAGAGUGAAGGAGUUAGAGUGAAGGAGUUAGUGUAGGGUGAAGGAGUUAGUGUAGGGUGAAGGAGUUAGAGUGAAGGAGUUAGUGUAGGGUGAAAGUGUUAGUGUAGGGUGAAAGUGUUAGUGUAGAGUGAAGGAGUGGACACUUGAUGAAGGGCCUGUGGAGAGUCUGGAGAAUAGGACAUGACAGGAACACACAGGGCCUCUCAUGUCGAGCCUGUGUGCUGUCACCCUGCUCCGAGCUCCCUGUGGCACUUUGUUUAAAGGAUUGAGAUGAUUAAUUGCUCGGUACUUGACUGUGUCAGGACUCUACCACUG